GAUUACUGUUGCCGUGCGCACCUUCGCUGAUUACCAGAAGCGCAUCAAAACCACGCUUCAUCUGUCGUCUAGAAACACGAGACUUGUGAACAACAGUAUCGGUAUUUCGGCUGAAGAAUUAGAUGAAACGCGGGUUCAUCUGAACGACGGUUUGCUUUUCGUUGACUAUAUUAACACAUUGAUAAUUGAAGAAGACCGGCUUGACCAUAAUGCGUCCCAGCAGGUUUCUCUUCAAGACGAUUUUGCUGACAGUAUCUGUCGGCUCCCCGAACAGUACGACACCGACGAGUACGUGAACUUUCUCAAACGCUUCGGCACGCACAUGAUAGAGAAAUUACAGUUGGUAAAGCUUAUCGCGAACCCGUGUGUUCGUGGACCCGAAAGCGUUGUUCCAGUACUUGGUCCGCACCGGCACGACCUUUACUGGCGACAGUGCCCACUGGGCGGACGGUGUACAACUGCGGCAUGUUACCGACAGAAUGCUCCUAAAAAUUGCCGAUGAUUUAAGGAAGAACCCGCGCUCGGACAGCGCUGUCAACGAGACUGCUGUGCAUAACGUUACUGUGCCGGUUCGUGUAACUGAAACUCCGCAGCUGCUUAGCAUGGUUGAUCAGAAUCGGUCUCUUGCGGAGAACUGCAGAGAACUAUUCGAUGGAUGUCCCAAGCUAAUCAGACGGUUUGGAUGAAAACCGUUCAGGACAACUUGCACCGAGCGAUAGAGGACUACAGCAAUGAAACCCCCAUCGAAAAUCCAAUUGUCGCACCACAGACGCUUCCCUGGCCGAUGGAAAUCCGCAAUCAGAUCCGAGCCAUCCAAACCCGGCAUUUUUUAGCGGGUGAGCGGCAUUCUUGUGUCAGCGACGCCUACAUUAACAUCCUGGGCCAUGGAUACGACCUUCUGCGCGCCGACCCGCUGGGGACGGAAUUUCACGCCGGGAUAGCGUCCUCGUGAGCGUGUGGGACCUGAACCCAUUCUUUCCUCCACGGAGAACAAAAACACUAAGGCUGGAGAAUACCACACUUCAUGAUAAACGGGAAGGAGAAUAAAUGGGAAGGAGAGAAUACCGUUUCUGACACCUGCCUCAUCAAAUCUCCAAUCAAAAUCCACUUCAGCAAAUAUGUGAAUUUCAUUCGUCUCGCAAGUCCUGGUUUGGAAGUUAAAAAUGGCACGAAAUGUUUUAUCAUGGGGUGGGGAAAAACAGUGUGCGACGAAAAUGAGACAUCUGACGACAACAGCCUUGAAGAUUUAAUGGAAGAUCCGGAAAUGGAAACGGAACCGUCUGGGAACUUUUCGAUGUGGCGCAUGUCCCGAAUGAACGCACCAGCGUAUAGACUGAGAUUUUUAAAUAAUGUGACAAAGAUGGAUAUUGUAAAUUGCAGCAAAUGCCAGAAGGCCAGGGUUGUGCCAUGUGUCCACUGGAUGCCGGACCCUAUACAGGCGGUAGCGGCGCACCGCUUAUUUGCACAACGGAAAAUGGAACGGACUAUGCUUUUGCAACGUUUAUAAAAAACUGAUGCAGGAUAGCAAACAUAUAUCCAGCGAUGUAUGUCGAUAACCAGAACGAAGAAGUCUUCAGUUGGAUUAAACGGACAACUGGAACGUAAACCCGUGUGUUCGUGGACACACUGAAUUCGAAAGAUUCUCCAGCAACAUGGCCGAAUUUCCCGUUGCUUCCUUUUUAUCAGACGAACUUGACGGAGGGCGCUCGGUUUAUGGACUGGCUGCCACAUUGAUGUUUUUGAUUCUAGUUACCUUUUAUGGUAUUUUUAAAGUUAGAACGUUUUAUAGCAUUACUGCUAAUAGGCAGACAACUACAAUGGUAGAAAGCGUGCCUAUCAGCCUAUGUUAAGGUUGUAAA